GUUGUAUGGUUAAGUGACUAAGCGUACACGGUGGAUGCCUUGGCAGUCAGAGGCGAUGAAAGACGUAGUAACUUGCGAUAAGCCCAGAUUAGGUAGUAACAACCAUUUGAGUCUGGGAUUUCUGAAUGGGGAAACCCACGUGCAUAAGCACGUAUCCUUACCUGAAUACAUAAGGUAAGGAGGCGAACCGGGGGAACUGAAACAUCUAAGUACCCCGAGGAAAAGAAAUCAACCGAGAUUCCGAAAGUAGCGGCGAGCGAAAUUGGACUAGCCCUUAAGCUUUACACGCGUUAGACGAACGGUCUGGAAAGUCCGACGAUACAGGGUGAUAGUCCCGUAGUUGACGACGUGUGUUCAGUGAAAUCGAGUAGGGCGGGACACGUGAUAUCCUGUCUGAAUAUGGGGGGACCAUCCUCCAAGGCUAAAUACUACUGACUGACCGAUAGUGAACCAGUACCGUGAGGGAAAGGCGAAAAGAACCCCUGUGAGGGGAGUGAAAUAGAACCUGAAACCGUGUACGUACAAGCAGUAGGAGCAGGCUUUGUCCUGUGACUGCGUACCUUUUGUAUAAUGGGUCAGCGACUUAUAUUCAGUGGCAAGGUUAACCAUCUAGGGGAGCCGUAGGGAAACCGAGUCUUAACUGGGCGUUCAGUCUCUGGAUAUAGACCCGAAACCAGGUGAUCUAGCCAUGGGCAGGUUGAAGGUUGAGUAACAUCAACUGGAGGACCGAACCGACUAAUGUUGAAAAAUUAGCGGAUGACUUGUGGCUAGGGGUGAAAGGCCAAUCAAACCUGGAGAUAGCUGGUUCUCCCCGAAAGCUAUUUAGGUAGCGCCUCGGACGAAUACUACUGGGGGUAGAGCACUGUUAAGGCUAGGGGGUCAUCCCGACUUACCAACCCUUUGCAAACUCCGAAUACCAGUAAGUACUAUCCGGGAGACACACGGCGGGUGCUAACGUCCGUCGUGGAGAGGGAAACAACCCAGACCGCCAGCUAAGGUCCCAAAUUACUACUAAGUGGGAAACGAUGUGGGAAGGCUCAGACAGCCAGGAUGUUGGCUUAGAAGCAGCCAUCAUUUAAAGAAAGCGUAAUAGCUCACUGGUCGAGUCGGCCUGCGCGGAAGAUGUAACGGGGCUAAGUAGUAAACCGAAGCUGCGGCAAUAUACUUUUGUAUAUUGGGUAGGGGAGCGUUCUGUAAGCGGUUGAAGGUGUGUGGUAACGCAUGCUGGACGUAUCAGAAGUGCGAAUGCUGACAUGAGUAACGAUAAAGGGGGUGAAAAACCUCCUCGCCGGAAGACCAAGGGUUCCUGUCCAACGUUAAUCGGGGCAGGGUAAGUCGACCCCUAAGGCGAGGCCGAAAGGCGUAGUCGAUGGGAAACGGGUUAAUAUUCCCGUACUUCUUACAAUUGCGAUGGGGGGACGGAGAAGGCUAGGUGGGCCUGGCGACGGUUGUCCAGGUUCAAGUGCGUAGGCUUAAGAGUUAGGUAAAUCCGGCUCUUUUUAAGGCUGAGACACGACGUCGAGCACCUACGGGUGUGAAGUCAUUGAUGCCAUGCUUCCAGGAAAAGCCUCUAAGCUUCAGAUUGUAAGGAAUCGUACCCCAAACCGACACAGGUGGUCGGGUAGAGAAUACCAAGGCGCUUGAGAGAACUCGGGUGAAGGAACUAGGCAAAAUGGUACCGUAACUUCGGGAGAAGGUACGCUCUUGAUGGUGAAGUCCCUUGCGGAUGGAGCUGACGAGAGUCGCAGAUACCAGGUGGCUGCAACUGUUUAUUAAAAACACAGCACUGUGCAAAAUCGUAAGAUGACGUAUACGGUGUGACGCCUGCCCGGUGCCGGAAGGUUAAUUGAUGGGGUUAGACUUCGGUCGAAGCUCUUGAUCGAAGCCCCGGUAAACGGCGGCCGUAACUAUAACGGUCCUAAGGUAGCGAAAUUCCUUGUCGGGUAAGUUCCGACCUGCACGAAUGGCGUAAUGAUGGCCACGCUGUCUCCACCCGAGACUCAGUGAAAUUGAAAUCGCUGUGAAGAUGCAGUGUACCCGCGGCUAGACGGAAAGACCCCGUGAACCUUUACUACAGCUUGGCACUGAACAUUGACCCUACAUGUGUAGGAUAGGUGGGAGGCUUUGAAGCACGUACGCCAGUAUGUGUGGAGCCGUCCUUGAAAUACCACCCUUGUAGUGUUGAUGUUCUAACGUCGACCCCUUAUCGGGGUUGCGGACAGUGCCUGGUGGGUAGUUUGACUGGGGCGGUCUCCUCCCAAAGAGUAACGGAGGAGCACGAAGGUGGGCUAAUCACGGUUGGACAUCGUGAGGUUAGUGCAAUGGCAUAAGCCCGCUUGACUGCGAGAAUGACAAUUCGAGCAGGUGCGAAAGCAGGUCAUAGUGAUCCGGUGGUUCUGAAUGGAAGGGCCAUCGCUCAACGGAUAAAAGGUACUCCGGGGAUAACAGGCUGAUACCGCCCAAGAGUUCAUAUCGACGGCGGUGUUUGGCACCUCGAUGUCGGCUCAUCACAUCCUGGGGCUGAAGUCGGUCCCAAGGGUAUGGCUGUUCGCCAUUUAAAGUGGUACGCGAGCUGGGUUUAGAACGUCGUGAGACAGUUCGGUCCCUAUCUGCCGUGGGCGUUGGAAGAUUGAAGGGGGCUGCUCCUAGUACGAGAGGACCGGAGUGGACGAACCUCUGGUGUUCGGGUUGUGUCGCCAGACGCAUUGCCCGGUAGCUAAGUUCGGAAUCGAUAACCGCUGAAAGCAUCUAAGCGGGAAGCGAGCCCUGAGAUGAGUCUUCCCUGAUACUUUAAGUAUCCUAAAGGGUUGUCGGAGACUACGACGUUGAUAGGUCAGGUGUGUAAGUGCUGUGAGGCAUUGAGCUAACUGAUACUAAUUGCCCGUGAGGCUUAACCAUACAACACCCAAGGGGUUU
rnacentral:rRNA from 1 species